AUACUUACCUGGACAGGGUCAAUGAACGAUCAUCAAGGUUCAUGGCCUAGGUAAGCGAUCUUCAUUGCACUUUGGGGGAGCUUGUCUAAGGUUUCCACCUACUUAGGAGAGCUUAUGUCAUAAUUUGUGGUAGUGGGGGUUGCGUUCGCGUUCCACUUA